rnacentral:rRNA from 1 species
GACGAACGCUGGCGGCGUGCUUAACACAUGCAAGUCGAACGGAAAGGCCCUGCUUUUGUGGGGUGCUCGAGUGGCGAACGGGUGAGUAACACGUGAGUAACCUGCCCUUGACUUUGGGAUAACUUCAGGAAACUGGGGCUAAUACCGGAUAGGAGCUCCUGCUGCAUGGUGGGGGUUGGAAAGUUUCGGCAGUUGGGGAUGGACUCGCGGCUUAUCAGCUUGUUGGUGGGGUAGUGGCUUACCAAGGCUUUGACGGGUAGCCGGCCUGAGAGGGUGACCGGCCACAUUGGGACUGAGAUACGGCCCAGACUCCUACGGGAGGCAGCAGUGGGGAAUAUUGCACAAUGGGCGGAAGCCUGAUGCAGCAACGCCGCGUGCGGGAUGACGGCCUUCGGGUUGUAAACCGCUUUCGCCUGUGACGAAGCGUGAGUGACGGUAAUGGGUAAAGAGGCACCGGCUAACUACGUG